CCCUGACAGUCGCAUGCGCGGCUGACAUUUGCCAAGACAGGAGAACAACAUG
rnacentral:ncRNA from 1 species